GGGAAUGUAGUUUAAUGGAAAAACUUAAAAACUAAGGUUAUAAAAUGUUGGUUCAAGUCCAGCCGUUCCCU
rnacentral:tRNA from 1 species